rnacentral:rRNA from 1 species
GUGGGGAAUUUUGGACAAUGGGCGCAAGCCUGAUCCAGCAAUGCCGCGUGUGUGAAGAAGGCCUUCGGGUUGUAAAGCACUUUUGUCCGGAAAGAAAUGGCCUGGGUUAAUACCCCGGGUCGAUGACGGUACCGGAAGAAUAAGCACCGGCUAACUACGUGCCAGCAGCCGCGGUAAUACGUAGGGUGCGAGCGUUAAUCGGAAUUACUGGGCGUAAAGCGUGCGCAGGCGGCGAUGCAAGACAGAUGUGAAAUCCCCGGGCUCAACCUGGGAACUGCAGUUGUGACUGCAUGGCUAGAGUGCGUCAGAGGGGGGUGGAAUUCCGCGUGUAGCAGUGAAAUGCGUAGAGAUGCGGAGGAACACCGAUGGCGAAGGCAGCCCCCUGGGAUGACACUGACGCUCAUGCACGAAAGCGUGGGGAGCAAACAGGAUUAGAUACCCGAGUAGUCC